CCCACUUUGUUUCCUUGCCUCCAUUCUGAAGACCUGAAAUGAACGGCAGUGAGGUCCUUGUUGUUUUUUAACGUUUAUGAUUAAAGAAACAGGUUAAUUUCAGCUGAAGCUUACUGAUCUAACUGGUCACGUGGUUUCAUGACUGCUCACUCUAAGAGAUGCAGUAAGAUCACACACCUGAACGAUGGCAAGGCUGCCCCUUUCAGCCACAGCAUCUAUGCACACUAGCCAGCAUUUUCAGGAAGCCUAAGUUUCAACAGUUCUUCUCCAGAGACUGGUGCCUGAUAGCUUUGUUCAGAGUUCAAGUUUAAAUACAACGUCUACAAUAAUGGGAACUAGAGAGAGAAACAGCUCUACAUCUGAUUAAAAUGCUAUCAUGUGUGCUGCACCUACUAAAAGAGUUCAUAGGCUCCUGCAGCACCACCUGCUCACCCUACCUCCUUCCGGCAGACAGCAGCAGUUGGAUUUGGGCCCUGAGGCUCUCUUACUUCCUUCUUGCCCACAGAUUACUCCAAACUACAUCAAACAACUGCUGUAGGAGCCAGUGUUGUGAUCAGAGAGAAGAUGUCCUAGACACAGAAGACAGAGGUCGAACCUGUAGGGAUGAUUAGAGCAGGUUUGAGAUCCUUUUCAACCCAGACCAUUCUACGAUCCUUUUCUGAAGGUCCUUCAGUGAACUGAAAUAAUGCAUUUCUUAUUCCAUCGUUGUCCAACCUGCCUUGUCAUGCCUAGGAAACCCUGAGAGGUGUUUUGUUGUCUUCUCGUUGUCAAUUCCUUCCUCUGACUGCAUUUCCCAUAGGAGGGGCUGUAUAGGCCCUACCAGUCACUUGGUGGAGCUAAGGAAAAUUUCUAAAGAUGUAGGACAUACUGCUCUGGGUUUGAUCUUGAGUUUUGUCAGAGCUUUAAGCUGCAAACAAACUCUUGCUACCAGGCAGAAAACAAGACAUUUCUCAAAAGUGAAGGUUUUGUUUGUUUAACUAAAGCCAAACUUUCUUCCCCUUCUCUUUCAAUUUGAUUAUACAGCAAAAAUGAAAGUCAGGAUUCGAUCUCAACUGUCAUGCAAGUCCAAAAUUCCUCUACUUUGAAAAUAACUAUAUUUUGAAGAAAGCUGCCUUAUGAGGAAUGCCUCAAUUUUUACUGUGGUAGUGGAGGGAAAAUGGCUUUAGUUACUCAAUAUGGAUAAUCAGUGCUCUGAGCCAAGUUUGUAGAUACGAAUCAGUCAUACAGCACUUCACACGUACACAUUUACAGUGUGAAAACUGGAAGUUUUGUGUAGUUCUGCUUUGCGGAAUAUCGCAUCACCCUAAAAGUGCACUCAAAAAGCUUUUUUGGAUUUGGUGGGUGAAAAGGGGGGGUGUUUGCAGAUACUGUUUAGAGACGGUUGAUCUUUCUUUGCUAUUUUAAAUGUAGAUGUUCAUAUCUGUAUUGAUUAACAUACAUGUAUGGUACAAAAUAUUAUAUGUUCAAGUAGGUGAUACUUUAUGUGCCACUGGAGACAUUGGAAGGGUCCACCUCUCUUAACAGUCUAUGGUGUAUGGUUUCUAAUGACCAUGAAAAGUUGAAUCAAUUGAAUUAAUAAAUUCCCUUAUCCAGUUAGGGCAAGACUUUUUAAACAGAAUUCCUUCUGCCUGUUACUUCUCCCACACGCUCCUGACCUUCCUCCAACCCCCUAAAUGCCCAUUUUGGACCUGUGCCCUUGAGGCCACGCUCAAGAGCACACAUAAAACGAUGAAAAUUUUAAAGUUCUGCUUUAAUAAGAACCACUAGUUGAACAAUUUCUCGUUUUGGGUCUGCUUUGGGACUCCUAGGGAUGCUAAUGCAUGUUAAUUUAAACUCCUUAUCAGCAGACUAGCAAGACCAUUCACGCAUUUUCCAGAGACACCACAGGUUUUAGGCUGUUGUCCUAAUUGCUAUUGUUCAGGCAGCCAGCUAUUAUAUUUACCACAAGCUGUUUUCGUCUUGUUAGGUUGUUUUCGUCUUGUUGGGAGCCUGGUGCCAAACUGAAAAACAACACCUACCUUGACCACUUGUCGCCUUUUGGAAGCUGAAGUAAUUACACUAUAGGAUGCAAACAAGCUUCUAUACAAAUGGUGUAAGCUAAGCUUUUGGCUGUGUUUUCAAUAGUUGCUGAAUCUGUUUUUAGGGAAAUGCAGGGUUGCAUGACACUAAGCACUACACACAGUCUUUCUUCAAGAUUUUUUUUCUUGUUUGUUUGUUUAUUUGUUUAACUGAUGAAAAUCUUGGUCAAUCAGCUAUGUUUGUGACCAUGUUUUUAUGCUUGAUCUGGUCUGAACUCAAUGACUGUCAGAGACGAGCUUCUCUGCCCCACAGAAUUUUUAUCUGUUCAGAAGAAUACAACAUUUGCACAGUCAUGAUAGUAGAUGUCUGAGAAAUGAUUUAUUUUCUUCCAUUUUCAUUUCCUGGUUCAGUUCAGGGAAGGAUUGGGAAACUUGUGUCCUGGGCAGGAGAUCCCACAUUUUAGGCAAUAAAUUCCUGUGAGACUAUGUUCAUCCAUAAAAUUGAAUCCUAACUGUCUAACUUCCAAAUUGCUUUCCCCUCUUUUGUAUUUCUGGAUAUAGUCAUUAAACUGCUUUAAAAGUAAAAUUCAGAUCACAACUCAGGCUUUUCUGUAGACAUAACCUUGCUUUGGAAAAAAAAUUACAGAGACUUACCCUCAAUUUAAACCAAGUUUGAGGCUGUGAAAACAAAACAAAAAACCAAAACACACACACAAACUUUGUUAACACUUGCUUUUGUUUCAUCUUUUCAUACUCUUCUCCACUUCCCCUUUUUUUUUUUUUUUUUUUUGUUGGAAUACUUCCACCUGGAAGUACCAGAAAUAUGCACCCAGUUUUGCAGAGGAUGGGUGUUCUUGUGUUGAAGACUCCAAGCUGGGAUUUAGAAAACCUGGAUUCAUUUUUCUGCUUUGCCACUUGUUUUCAGUUUAAAAUUGUCUUGUAAGUCAUGUAGUGAAUUAAGUCUAUGCUUCAAUAUCCCAUCUGUGAAACAGCUUAUAUUUCCUUACCUCAGAGGGCAGCAAUAUGUUCAUUUGUGGUUCUCAGAUGCUAUCGGGACCAUUUGUGAAUACAGGCUCUAAUAGAAUAACAAUAAAUUGCUGUCAUGUCAUA